rnacentral:rRNA from 1 species
UCGCGGCGGNGCGCGCARAARGGUCUGGGCUCGMNCCUGCCUGGAGCCGCCGCCGGUGCAGAUCUUGGUGGUAGUAGCAAAUACUCCAGCGAGGCCCUGGAGGACUGAUGUGGAGAAGGGUUUCGUGUGAACAGCCGUUGCACACGAGUCAGUCGAUCCUAAGCCCUAGGAGAAAUCCGAUGCAAACGGCGAUGGGAAACUGAAWGAAWGAGAAAGAGACCCAUUGAUCGGGCGAAAGGGAAUCCGGUUCCUAUUCCGGAACCCGGCAGCGGAACCGUUGUUUGUCGGGCCCUCACAAGGGGUUCGUCAGGGCAACCUAAAAGGGCCCGGAGACGCCGUCG